UGGGGAAUAUUGGACAAUGGGCGCAAGCCUGAUCCAGCCAUGCCGCGUGAGUGAUGAAGGCCUUAGGGUUGUAAAGCUCUUUUGCCGGGGACGAUAAUGACGGUACCCGGAGAAUAAGUCCCGGCUAACUUCGUGCCAGCAGCCGCGGUAAUACGAAGGGGACUAGCGUUGUUCGGAAUCACUGGGCGUAAAGCGCACGUAGGCGGAUUUGUAAGUCAGGGGUGAAAUCCCGGGGCUCAACCUCGGAACUGCCUUUGAUACUGCGAAUCUUGAGUCCGAUAGAGGUGGGUGGAAUUCCUAGUGUAGAGGUGAAAUUCGUAGAUAUUAGGAAGAACACCGGUGGCGAAGGCGGCCCACUGGAUCGGUACUGACGCUGAGGUGCGAAAGCGUGGGGAGCAAACAG
rnacentral:rRNA from 1 species